GGGCCUGUAGCUCAGCUAGGUAGAGCAUCUGGCUUUUAACCAGGUGGCCAAGGGUUCGAAUCCCUU
rfam:Thermoplasmatales archaeon SG8-52-2 WOR_8-12_712, whole genome shotgun sequence.